AGUGAACGCUGGCGGUAGGCCUAACACAUGCAAGUCGAACGGCAGCACAGUAAGAGCUUGCUCUUACGGGUGGCGAGUGGCGGACGGGUGAGGAAUACAUCGGAAUCUACUUUUUCGUGGGGGAUAACGUAGGGAAACUUACGCUAAUACCGCAUACGACCUACGGGUGAAAGCAGGGGAUCUUCGGACCUUGCGCGAUUGAAUGAGCCGAUGUCGGAUUAGCUAGUUGGCGGGGUAAAGGCCCACCAAGGCGACGAUCCGUAGCUGGUCUGAGAGGAUGAUCAGCCACACGGUAACUGAGACACGGCCCAGACUCCUACGGGAGGCAGCAGUGGGGAAUAUUGGACAAGGGGGGAAAGCCUGAUCCAGCCAUACCGCGUGGGUGAUGAAGGCCUUCGGGUGGUAAAGCCCUGUUGUUGGGAAAGAAAAGCAGCAGGUUAAUACCCCGCUGUUCUGACGGUACCGAAAGAAUAAGCACCGGCUAACUUCGUG
rnacentral:rRNA from 1 species